GAUGAACGCUAGCGGCAUGCUUAACACAUGCAAGUCGGACGGGAAGUGGUGUUUCCAGUGGCGUACGGGUGAGUAACGCGUAAGAACCUGCCCUUGGGAGGGGAACAACAACUGGAAACGGUUGCUAAUACCCCGUAGGCUGAGGAGCAAAAGGAGGAAUCCGCCCGAGGAGGGGCUCGCGUAUGAUUAGCUAGUUGGUGAGGCAAUAGCUUACCAAGGCGAUGAACAGUAGCUGGUCCGAGAGGAUGAUCAGCCACACUGGGACUGAGACACGGCCCAGACUCCUACGGGAGGCAGCAGUGGGGAAUUUUCAGCAAUGGGCGAAAGCCUGACGGAGCAAUGCGGCGUGGAGGUAGAAGGCCCACGGGUCAUGAACUUCUUUUCUCAGAGAAGAAGCAAUGACGGUAUCUGAGGAAUAAGCAUCGGCUAACUCUGUG
rnacentral:rRNA from 1 species